AGAUUUUUUUCUCCGACAUGAAAAACGUCGUGGAUCCCACCAUAAAAUACAGCCGUUAUAAACCACUCGUCCGCUCACACUCUGACACAUUAACCAGUGAUCAAAGAGUCCAACCACAGCAUUUUCCUGUUCUAUUUGUCCUAGUAAAUGCGUAUAUUAUCUUCUUCGCAGUUUUAUGGACGACAGUCUUUUUUGUUUUGUUUCUUCCAGUUUGAGAAAAAUAAAUCUGAGGUGACUUGGUGCUGUUUUAUAAGCCAGACAGGAACGUUGAUUAUCCAGAGGGCCACUGGACAUCGGAGUGAACUGGAAGAGGAAUCGGUGUGACCAGCUGUGAACUACACAAAUAUUCUCUCUCUUUCAAGAUCAAACCCUGUUUUCCCGCCCCUGUGAUCAUCGUCCAUCAGGAUGCGCUCCUUGUGUUUUCUGCUCCUGACCCUGACCCUUGUUCUCUGCGCAUGCGCCGAUGAUGCCAUAGUGUGUCAGAGGGCAUGCGCAGUCGCACCAAAGAACACAGGGGAGAUCACUAGAGUGAUCAAGUCAUUGUGUGGCUGUUUGUCCCGAAGACGAUUCAGAGGCCUCCCCGCCUCCCCACCCAUCAACGAACACAACAUCUGUGAGGAGCUGUGUAAAAUCAUGCUGGGAGGCGAUGCCUGCCAGUGUAGCAUGCCCAGCCUGCCGUGAGAGGGGAAGGUGGUUCAAAUCCUGUUUUUCUUACUCUUUAAAAUGAUAUUUUUGUACCACCGAAAAAGACGCCCGUCCUCUUUUUUUUUUCAAAGAUCUUUUGAAAGAAAGAAGUGAAGGUCGAAGGUCAAUCCUGAUUUAUUAUUGCAAUGGUGAAGAUAACGAGUAGGUCUAUGGGAAAAGGG